GGAGAUUUGAUGGGGAAUGAACACCCCACAGCUCUGUGCAGGAGUGCCUGGAAGUGAGGCCAGUCAAGGGAAGGCUGCCAGACAACCAACUCAGCUUCAGACCAUCUUCAGAUCGUAACCCACCAGGGACUGUGGGCUUUGCCAGACCACAUUUUUGGUUACUGCAACUCAAGUUGGCUUCUAAAUCUCAAAAAAUGUGACAAUGAUACAGAUUUUUUUAUCUACUUUUGUCUAAAACAUUUAAAUACUCAUUCUGAAGUAACUCAUCUCAAAAUCCAAUGCUAGAAAAAUGGAAAUAAUUACAGGCAGAAGCAAUGAUUUAAAGGUUUAAAAGAAGCUGUCCAUUCUAAAGAGUCAGAGGAAACCUUUCCUUAUGAAAUGGUUAAUGAAAUAAAUAGGAAAAAAAAUUCCAACACAAUCACGAGGUUCCAGAAAACAUUGUAUAUUUAUUUAAAAAGUAAUUUUGUAUGAAUGAAAUAUUUCUUAAGGUUCUGCCUUUCUUUCCUUCCACUCAACAGGAAACAAAAUUACUGGAUUUAUGGUCAAGGAAAAUCACUAACCCACAGCCCUCAGAUGCACUCAUGAAAAUGGGAAGAAUGCAUACACAGGGAUCAGAGAACAGAGAAACAGGUGAAUCUUGUGGUUGGAAAGAAACGCACUUUGGAUUAUUCCAGCCUCUGUGA
rnacentral:lncRNA from 1 species